GUGGUCAGGCGGAUGGUCGCUCUGUGCCGCCGUCCCCGAUGCGUCCCGACUCUUCAAAAGGUCGGGACAAUCGGACCGGCGUGUGCGGGGAGGAAAGUCCGGACUCCGCAGGGUAGGGUGUCCUGGUGUAAUGCCGGGAGGUCUUUCGAUUAAUCGAAAGAAACGGAUAGUGCCACAGAAACAAACCGCCCCGAGCAACGUUAGCGUGUCGAGGGGUAAGGGUGAAACGGCGGUGUAAGAGACCACCGCUCCGGACCGCAAGGGCCGGAGGCAAGGCAAACCCCACCUGGAGCAAGAUCAAAUAUGAUACUGGCAAGGCGACCCGCCUUUAUCUCGAUACCCCUCGAAAGGGAUCGGGAUCAGUAUCGGGUUGAUCGCAAUAAGUCCUGGCCGCCGCCGGCCAGGCAAGAUAAAUGACCAUCGUGCCGGUUUGGCUCGUUCCCUCCGUUGCCAAGGCUAUGGCGGGCAGGCCUGCCGACACACAAAAUCCGGCUUAUAGCCUGGCCGCCUGA
rnacentral:RNase_P_RNA from 1 species